rnacentral:lncRNA from 1 species
AAACUUAUUGAUAAGUGGUACAACAUAUCAUGAAAGUAUAAUUCCAUCCUUGAGAGGUUACAACUUCCUGCAGAAAUCAUAAGCGAAAACCAAAAACCUUCCCUUCUCUCUUCUUCUUCUUUUUCUUCUUCUCUUUGGUAUACAUAUUCUCACACAAAGACAACGUCAUAUUGUAAUUAACAGUCUAACAAUAUUACAUUAACGAUUCAAUUUUCUUCAUCGAUCGUUACAUGUUGGUCAUAUUUGGUAGUCUAGCCUGGCCAUGAGACAUUAGUAAAUUCUAUAUAAUAGAUAAAAUACACUAACACAUAUUGUACUAAAAAAAAAAGAAGCAAUAUAUGACCAUAAAAAAGUACCAAAAAAUAAAAAAUAAAAAAUAAAAACCACAGUUAACAAUUGGAAUAUGUACAAAAUAUAUAGUAAUGUCCUACAAUCACGUUUAUAUCAUCUGUGCGAGAGGCUUUUUUUAACAAUUGGAAUAUGUAUAAAAUAUAUAGUACUGUCCUUCC